UAGGGAAUCUUCGGCAAUGGACGAAAGUCUGACCGAGCAACGCCGCGUGAGUGAAGAAGGUUUUCGGAUCGUAAAACUCUGUUGUUAGAGAAGAACAAGGACGUUAGUAACUGAACGUCCCCUGACGGUAUCUAACCAGAAAGCCACGGCUAACUACGUGCCAGCAGCCGCGGUAAUACGUAGGUGGCAAGCGUUGUCCGGAUUUAUUGGGCGUAAAGCGAGCGCAGGCGGUUUCUUAAGUCUGAUGUGAAAGCCCCCGGCUCAACCGGGGAGGGUCAUUGGAAACUGGGAGACUUGAGUGCAGAAGAGGAGAGUGGAAUUCCAUGUGUAACGGUGAAAUGCGUAGAUAUAUGGAGGAACACCAGUGGCGAAGGCGGCUCUCUGGUAUGUAACUGACGCUGAGGCUCGAAAGCGUGGGGAGCAAACAGG
rnacentral:rRNA from 1 species